UAAUUGUAGUCUCUGACAGAGAAAAGCUGUUCAGUUCUAGCUACUGUUCUCUCCUCCCAAACCAUCCUGAAAGAGCUGAACCUGAACAACAGCCGUCUGCUGGACUCAGGAGUCAAAGAGAUCUGUGAGGGACUGAAGAAUCCUGUGUGUGAGCUGAAGAUACUCAAUCUGUGUAGAUGCAGUAUUACAGAGAAACAGUGUCUCAUCCUGACUUUAGCUUUGUGUUCAAACUUAUCACACCUGAGAGAACUGGACCUGAGUGGAAAUAAAAUAGAAAACAAAGGAGUGAAGCAUGUAUCUGAAACAUUGAAGGAUGUACGCUGUAAACUGGAGAGACUGAGGUUAAGAGGCUGUGAUAUGAAAGAUGAAGGUUGUUUAUGUACUGACUUCAGCUCUGAAAUCAAAACCCAUCACACCUGAGAGAGCUGGACCUGAGUGAGAAUGAACUAGGAGACUCUGGAGUGAAAAAAAACCUCAGUGAUCUACUGAAGAACCCACAAUGCAGGCUGGAAAUACUAGCACUGUGUAAAUGCAGUAUUAAAGAGAAGCAGUGUGAGUUCCUGACUUCAGCUCUGAAAUCAAACCCAUCACACCUGAGAGAACUGGACCUCAGUGGAAAUGUACUUCAACACACAAAAGAGAAUAAAUUUUAUGAUAUACUGAAGGAUCCAUGCUUUAAACUGGAGAGAUUGAGGUUAAGGACUUGUGAUAUAAAAGCUGAUGAUUGUUCAGCUCUGACUUCAGCUCUGAAAUCAAGCCCAUCACAUCUGAGAGAGCUGGACCUGAGUGGGAAUAAAUUAGGAUACUCUGGAGUGGAAAACCUUGGUGUUCUGUCGGGCAGU